ACUCACGUGGCUCAGUGGCUACAGUCCUCCACUCAACAGAUUAUGGAGAGUUCCCUUGUUCGAAUCAAGGCGUGAGUA